rnacentral:rRNA from 1 species
CGGGGGGGGCAAGCGUUGUUCGGAAUUACUGGGCGUAAAGGGCUCGUAGGCGGCCAACUAAGUCCGACGUGAAAUCCCCAGGCUCAACCUGGGAACUGCGUCGGAUACUGGAUGGCUUGAAUUCGGGAGAGGGAUGCAGAAUUCCAGGUGUAGCAGUGAAAUGCGUAGAUAUCUGGAGGAAUACCGGUGGCGAAGGCGGCAUCCCGGACCGACAUUGACGCUGAGGAGCGAAAGCUAGGGGAGCAAACGGGAUUAGAUACCCCGGUAGUCCUAGCCCUAAACGAUGAAUGCAUGGUGUGACGGGUAUCGAUCCCUGUCGUGCCGAAGCUAACGCAUUAAGCAUUCCGCCUGGGGAGUACGGUCGCAAGGCUG